AACACCUUCAGAAUUCCUUCCAGUUUUUUUCCUUUAAGGGCAAACCCCUGAGAGACGACAUUAGGGAGGAUUUUCAGAAGUGGUUUACCUGCCUCCCUUCCCAAAAACAAUCCCACUUAUCAGCCAGGAAAGGCGAACGUGGGAGAACGAACUCUACUUUAUCCCACGACAGGCCCAGGGAACUCCAGAAAUAAGAGUAUGGUCUUCUCGACUGCCCAACAAAAGACAUACCAACUUUAAAAGAUGCAUUUUGGAGUUUUGCACUGUUGGACAUCCAAUUUACGUGGUUGUGAGGAGCUGCUAAGCAGUUUAUCUUCCAUCCAUUUUAACGAUCAAAACUGAAUUCCAAUGAAACCCUUAUACUUUUCUAAAAGCAGCAAGGUUGGUGGUGUCGCCACGAACAUCCAAUGAAUGAUUCAUUCUCGCUCAAGUGGAACCCGUGGGAAAUGUUGCCAAUAACUUGGUUUAUUUCUUAUCUUCAGUUCUCAGCAGACAACAUAUUCGUCUAUAUUUUUACUAAGAGUCAUAAAUUUUUCA
rnacentral:lncRNA from 1 species